UACGUAGGUGGCAAGCGUUGUCCGGAUUUACUGGGCGUAAAGAGCGCGCAGGCGGUCGUUCAAGUCGCGUGUGAAAGCCCCCGGCUCAACUGGGGAGGGUCACGCGAUACUGAUCGACUCGAAGGCAGGAGAGGGUAGUGGAAUUCCCGGUGUAGUAGUGAAAUGCGUAGAUAUCGGGAGGAAUACCAGUGGCGAAGGCGACUACCUGGCCUGUUCUUGACGCUGAGGCGCGAAAGCUAG
rnacentral:rRNA from 1 species